rnacentral:rRNA from 1 species
GCACGGGUGAGUAACACGUGAAUUACAUGCCCUUCAGUGGGGAAUAGCCCAGGGAAACUUGGAUUAAUACCCCAUAGUCUCGCAAGAGUAAAGGUGGCGUAAGCUGCCGCUGAAGGAUUGGUUCGCGCCCUAUCAGCUUGUUGGUGAGGUAACGGCUCACCAAGGCUACGACGGGUACCUGGUCUGAGAGGACGAUCAGGCACACUGGAACUGAGACACGGUCCAGACACC